CAUCUUCAAUACUGUAUCUCACACAACACCCACUGCUCUGUAUCAAGGCUGUAAAGGCAGAAUUCCAUUUCUCAUGCAAAUGAGGGAAACAGGAAAAGAAUACACGUGUGUAAACACAGGAUCCCUUGAGACAUGACCCCUCCAGCCACAGUCAUCUGAAUACAGUGCAAAGUGACUCAUGACUCAUGGUAUGACCACACUCAUGGCUGGCUACAAAUGAGAGGAAAAAAGAAUGUCCUGAUAGUAGCAUGUGAGGAACUGCAUCAGGUUAUCCCAGUGAGAAGAUCAAGGAUGGUCGCUGUCUGCCUUUUCUUCAUUGUUCCAGUGGACAUAAGAGCCAGUGUAGAGAUAAUCAGCCAAUUACUGGGCAAGAAACUAAGCCCAGAAGAACUGAACUCAAGUCAUUAAGCACACAUCCUUCCAGACCAUGAAAGAUA
rnacentral:lncRNA from 1 species